UACGUAGGUGGCAAGCGUUGUCCGGAUUUACUGGGCGUAAAGAGCGCGCAGGCGGUCGUAUAAGUCGAAUGUGAAAGCCCCCGGCUCAACUGGGGAGGGUCAUUCGAUACUGUUCGACUCGAAGGCAGGAGAGGGAAGUGGAAUUCCGGGUGUAGUGGUGAAAUGCGUAGAUAUCCGGAGGAACACCAGUGGCGAAGGCGACUUUCUGGCCUGUUCUUGACGCUGAGGCGCGAAAGCUAGGGGAGCAAACGGG
rnacentral:rRNA from 2 species